AAAAAGGGCCUUUGCUGUGAGUAGCACUUAGUUCCCUUACGGGUUCUGAGCGGAAUGACAAUCAAGACAUUUCGGAGGCAUAAUUUCUGUUCACUGGUGGCAGUUGGUGUUCCUCUGACCUGGCGCCCCA